rnacentral:tRNA from 1 species
GGCUGUCGACGAGCGGGAAUGCUAAUGCGCGCGGACUGAAAAUCCGCGUGUCCGUGGUUCGAUUCCGCGCUUGGCCACCA